rnacentral:rRNA from 1 species
AACGUGCCUUCUGGUUCGGAAUAACUCAGGGAAACUUGAGCUAAUACCGGAUACGCCCUUUUUGGGGAAAGGUUUACUGCCGGAAGAUCGGCCCGCGUCUGAUUAGCUAGUUGGUGGGGUAACGGCCUACCAAGGCGACGAUCAGUAGCUGGUCUGAGAGGAUGAUCAGCCACACUGGGACUGAGACACGGCCCAGACUCCUACGGGAGGCAGCAGUGGGGAAUAUUGGACAAUGGGCGCAAGCCUGAUCCAGCCAUGCCGCGUGAGUGAUGAAGGCCUUAGGGUUGUAAAGCUCUUUUAUCCGGGACGAUGAUGACGGUACCGGAGGAAUAAGCCCCGGCUAACUUCGUGCCAGCAGCCGCGGUAAUACGAAGGGGGCUAGCGUUGCUCGGAAUCACUGGGCGUAAAGGGCGCGUAGGCGGUCUUUUAAGUCGGGGGUGAAAGCCUGUGGCUCAACCACAGAAUUGCCUUCGAUACUGGGAGACUUGAGUUCGGAAGAGGUUGGUGGAACUGCGAGUGUAGAGGUGAAAUUCGUAGAUUUCGCAAGAACACCGGUGGCGAAGGCGGCCAACUGGACCGACACUGACGCUGAGGCGCGAAAGCGUGGGAGCAAACAGGAUUAGAUACCCUGCUAGUCCACGCCGUACACGAUGAAUGCCAGCCGUUGGGGGGCUUGCCUCUCAGUGGCGCAGCUAACGCUUUGAGCAUUCCGCCUGGGGAGUACGGUCGCAAGAUUAAACUC